rnacentral:lncRNA from 1 species
AACUAGAACUUUUAUUUUGAUUGAAACUCCAGCUGGAAGGAAAUUGGAAGACAAUCAAAUUGUGCUUUAAACCAAUUAAAUAAGGAAUAAAAAACCUGAUCAAAGGGGGACUCCUUUUAGGGGACUAAAAAGGAGACGCAGAAGCAAAGAAGGGGGAAUAUACAGAAGGCAAGAAGCAAAGAGAGAAGAAAAAUUCCAGAUUUGGUUGGACAAAUAUUAAUCAAGAAUUUGUGCAACAAAAUGGAGAAUUAAUCACGUUCGUUGUCAUAUAAUCAGGAGAUUUAAAAUACGCAAGGAAGAAGACGAAGAAAAAUUGUUGGGAUUCGUGUGGUGAAGAUCAAAAAUAGCUCAGAGUAAUUUUAUCUUGUUGAUUGUAAUUAAAUCUGGUGAUGCCGUUUAACUUUCAUUUGUUUAACUCCAACAUUAUAAGUGGCUAAAUACAUUUUAUGCUAGGAUGACGAUGCAGUUUAGGCUUUUUAAAAUUUUGUUAAAUUCCAAGAUUUC